AUCCUCCUCGGACGCGUAACACGGGCCAUAAUGCCAUGUUAUGGAACUUUGCCAUUGUAUUGUUUCCAUGGAUCUAUUUGCGAUACACGAGUGUUUCUUUCAGCACAUUCACCUAUGACCCCACUCAUCGAGUUUGGUAAACCUAAACGACCACCUGUACAUACAAGAUUUCCAUUUUGCUUAUCUCCUAACCUAAACCCACCAAAAAAGGCACCUCGAGUACAUGCGAGGCGUGCAAGGUGUUCGUGCGCCGUGGAAUGUAGGAAAGAAUGGCCAUGGAAGGAAUGGCAGACCCACUGGCCAUAAUAUUGAGCUACGCACACGCAACUGCUUGCCAUUCCAUAUACUCUUAGCGCCUUCGUCGAUGUUUUAAUGACGACACUGUCAUGGAAACGUAUUCUGCAGGCAGAAUCAUGGAGCCCUUCUGCCCUUUCUUCGUGGUAGACCGCGGAGGCAUUCCUUACAGCCACCCGUAACAUGUUAUCACGUCAACUUAUGUAAUAUUAAAAAGUUGACUAUGUUUGAUACUAAAAGAUUCUUAACUUCGAAUAUGUUGAACUCAUUGAAAUAAGGUGAAACCAUUAUAAUUUACAUUUAACAAACGAAUAACGUCUCUAUCUUGCAAAAAAAAAGAUGAAAGCUUUAAUAUUCUUUGUACGGUUUAAAUUGUCACACUUUGUUACUACUACAUUGUUACACUGUGCAGUAUUAUACUUAAUACUGCUUUAACACUGUUCAAUGCGUUUCCUGACCCCUUGAAGUUAACUAUGUAUGUAUACAGAAUGUUGGUGAGACGACGGGAAUCUUUUCACCCGGCUCUCACCCGGAAACCUCAACAGCGUUAAACGUAGCAGUAUUAAAUAUUGGAUUGCCAGAUAAAUCUUAAACCUUUUAGAGGUUACAUUUUUGCUCAGAAACAAGAAAAAUUCUGUAUGGAUGGCAUAAUGGAAUUAUUCAAUAGGUGGCAGAAUAUUAUUGAAUAAAGUAAUGCAUAUUUGAUUUAAUUAUAUUAUUACAAAGUGUUUAAAUGAAGUAUAAUUCAUACUAGAAAAGCUUCAAGACUUGUCUGAUAAUCCAAUAUAAUACUGCACAGUGUAACAAUGUUAAGUGUAAGAAAGAUGAAGAUUAUAUUGAGGACUGGAUACAUUAUUUCAGGUAAAACUCGGCAAAGUUUCUGUUAUCCAGAACGAAUCUUGACCGCUCCUUGUGCGUUUCGUCUCAUUUAAAUCACGGGACUGAAUGAAAUCUCGUUUUCCCGUUACAUGGAAUCUGAUUCAUGCGCGAAUCACGCCGAUCGGUGUGGAAAGAGAACGCAUUCUUCUCUAGCCGCCUCUAUCCACCGUAUCUUCAGCCAUUCUGGAUGCUGAACACUUUGUAUAUACGUCCAAAUAACAUUCCAAAUAGAGAGAAUCAACGAGCAAACAUCGGUGUCGCGAAACGAAAGAACCCUCUUAUCCGGCUACGGGAAACGCGAAUGCAAAGAAUUCAGUAUUCAAUCGCGCCUCCGGUACUCGUGUUGCACCUAUUAUUGAGUACACGGGCUUUUGUAAGAAAAUUCUUACGAGAUCCAAAUGAGUGAUCGUUGGAUAUGCGAAGUUAUAUAGCGUCACGCGUAUCGGACUUUUUGCGGUGAGGUGGUGACAGUCUGAGCUGGAAUUAAUAACAAAAAAAUUCAUCUAUAAAAUUAGUUUACUAGGCUUAUAAAAUUGAAGGAAUUUUAUAGCGUUGAUCCUUGACGACCUUGAUUCAUUAAUUUAAUUCAUAAAUGGUGAAACCAUUAGCAAGAAAUUACUACCCUGUGGAACAUUAAAACAGUUUAUAUUAAUAAGUGAUUAUUGAACUGGAAAACAUAAAAAUAUCCUAUAUAGAUUAAUUUUUAAGUUAGAAUAAUAUGAAAUUAGUCUAUGCUAUAUAGGAGAUUUAGUAGUUGGUGAGACCAUAGAUUUAACAGUAUGAAUAGAAAGAGAAAAUAUUGAAGAAUGCAGUGUAGCUCAUAAUGCACCAACAGUAGAGAGAACUAAAAAAGGUGGCUAAAAGAACAUAAAGAAUAUAGAAAGUCACUAAAAUAAUGGUAAAAUCCUGCAAGAUCACAAAUAAAAAGAAGCCUAACUGUACAUGAUAAGGAACAGAAACCAAGACAGACCAAAAGAUCGAAGAAGAGAAACGACGGUACUGUUCGUUGCGCGAAGAUGCAUCGAAAAUUUCACCUGACCAGCAAUGGUCAAUUUCACGGAUAGCAAGAGCGUACCAGAGACUGAAUUGCGCGAGUUAAUCAUACGCGACGCAAGUAGGCCGACCUGGGCAAAAACAAACGAUAUGCGCACGCGGCGCGGCCGCGUGCGAUACAUAUAAUUGGCCAGCGUAUUGCUAGCGGCUCGUGAAGUAUUCCAGCAAAUCCGACAUACAUUCCAGCGCGGAUCCCGGCUACUUACGUUCCGCCUCGCUGUGGAAUGCAGUCACCUUGUGGCAGGUGUACGGUGUACCGAACGUCCUCAAACAUUUCAACCUCCUACUUUCCCCCAUUUGAAUUCAAAUGCGUCUUCGUUGCGGCAAGUGGCAGCAACGGGAUCUGGUUGAACCAGUCGUUUUGGGAUUGGUCUUCCUUCGUUAUAUCAUUGAAGCACUGAAACAUUGAUUAUUGUUUGAUAUCUGAUUUUUAGAGGUUUUUGAUAUUAAAAGAAAUAAGUGAUUAGAUAUUCAUCCUUAAUUAAUGAACUGUGCAUAGUUAUGCAAGUUCAUAUCUUUAUGAAUGCACCCAUAUAAAAGAAUACGGCAUAAACAGAGAGAGAUUGACACAUUAUAUAGCUUUCAAUGAAAGACUACUACGACGAAUAGUGGGGUUAGUGGCCUUGAACGGUCAAAUAUUUUUCACUGCCUAUUCACACUUAACUCCACACUUCUCCUGUAUAACACGAUACAAUCCCCUACAUCAUAACAACAUAAACUAAAUUACAAUAAUAAACUACAAUAUAACAACAACAAAACUACAUUACAAUACUAAUAAUAAACCUAUAAGAAUACAUAUAUCUAAUUUCACGGUUCAUUUUCUUUUAUUUCAUCAGUCAGAAUCAGCUUGCUUUUUCACAAUCUUAUAUGAUGACACCUUUUGCAUCCUGAUGAUGAAUGCUUAUCUGUAUACUAUUACCAUAAAUUAUAAUCGUCCAAUGUAGCACAGAAGUAUUACAGUAAUCGUCCUAAAUGUACCUCAAAUGAAUAUUUCAACUUGCAUAGAAGCAAUUUGGAUAAGCAACCAAUGAUCUAUUGAAGAAAAUAAAUGAAAAAAACCAAUGGAAUGGAAUAAUUUUAGGUUAGAUAUACACGAAUACGAAUCGAACUAACGGGUCCAUGGAGCUCGUUUACGCGACCUCUGGGCGGUCAUCUCGUGGUUAAAUGCGCGAGAGGCUUUCUCCGUGGAUUGGAAUGCGGCCUCUCCCUCUGACCGGCUCUCUGACUUGCUUCGAGGAUAGCCAUGGAGGUGUACGUCGGCUUCCAGGUUCGCUCUUUACUGAUUCUAGUUUCCCCAUGGCUACAUGCCGGAAAAUCGGAUACCGGUUACUUCUUUCUCGAAAUAUAGUUGAAUCGGAUAAAAGGAUUUGGACGGUCUGUGAGAUGAGUUGGUAACCUUGGUGACAACAAGUACGACUUCCAAAUUUGAGCAUGCGACAUAUAGGUCAAGGUCAUUACAGAGAUUAUAUUCAUACCGAUGUGAACUAGAAGAUUUAUCUAGAUAUUCCAAUUUGUACGCGAGAUUAUAGACCAUGUUAUCAUUUAGAUAAUAAUCAAUUAAUAAAAACGUUGAAUAGCCAAAAAUUAAUCAGGCAUAAUAGCACAGAAAAAUAUUCAUAACUGUACAAAUAUGUUCUAUUCUCUUCUAUCUAAGAUUAUUUACAAACAUGUAAUGUAAACACAAUAAUACUAUCAAAAUAUUCCCAAUAUAAUGCUACAUUACGA